AUUGAACGCUGGCGGCAGGCUUAACACAUGCAAGUCGAGCGGAGAUGAGGUGCUUGCACCUUAUCUUAGCGGCGGACGGGUGAGUAAUGCUUAGGAAUCUGCCUAUUAGUGGGGGACAACAUUCCGAAAGGAAUGCUAAUACCGCAUACGUCCUACGGGAGAAAGCAGGGGAUCUUCGGACCUUGCGCUAAUAGAUGAGCCUAAGUCGGAUUAGCUAGUUGGUGGGGUAAAGGCCUACCAAGGCGAAGAUCUGUAGCGGGGCUGAGAGGAAGAUCCGCCCCAAUGGGAAUGGGAACCGGCCCCGACUCCUACGGGGGGCAGCAGUUGGGAAUAUUUGACAAUGGGGGAAACCCUGAUCCAGCCAUGCCGCGUGUGUGAAGAAGGCCUUAUGGUUGUAAAGCACUUUAAGCGAGGAGGAGGCUACUGAGACUAAUACUCUUGGAUAGUGGACGUUACUCGCAGAAUAAGCACCGGCUAACUCUGUGCCAGCCGCCGCUGUAA
rnacentral:rRNA from 1 species